rnacentral:sRNA from 1 species
AGUGAGAGUGAGGGAGGGGGUGACUAGUGACAGAGUGAGGGAGGGGGUGACUAGUGACAGAGUUAGGGAGGGAAGGGGUGACUAGGGAGAGAGUGAGGGAGGUGGUGACUAGUGACAGUCACCCCCUCCCUCACUCUGUCACUAGUCACUCCUCCCCUCCCUCACUCUGUCACUAGUCACUCCCUCCCUCCCUCUGUCACUGGUCACCCACUCCCUCCCUCACUCUGUCACCAGUCAUUCUCAUCACUUUCUCU